UUUUCGCUCAAACACAAUGACUUUACAGUACGUGAAUGUCAUAUAUUAAACAUUAAUUAUGCUCAUUUGAAGUACAGUCACAUUUUAUUUGAGUGACAUGGUAUUUAUUAUAUGCAUCACAUUAUUGACUAUAUAUUUGUUUAAAAGUGGACGUUAGUUCUUCGGCAUCUGUUGCAUGUGAAUGGCUGGAUUUCAAAGCAUAAGAUGGAACGUAAAUUACAACUACUAGUUAUACUUAUAGCUUUAGGGACGGUGUGGUCCACAAUUCGCAACGAUGGAUACCAAUGCGACUAUUGCUCCUUCACCUGUACCAGACUGCAGAACAUCUACCGGCACUUUUCCGUAAAACACCCGCACAGGAAACCAAAAUACCACCUUUACCACAAGAGCCAGAAGGCGCAUGCUCGAAAGAAGGGAGGACAAUACAAACUGAACAAACUAGGAUAACGUAAUUCAAAUGUUCCUAUACUGGACAAUCAGUUAUGUUAAUAAGGACAUAAUUUUUUUAUAUAUUUCUAAAUAACUUGAAAUAUCCUCAAUACAGCAAGAUUAAACGAAGUUAACUAGAUUUGUUUAAACUUGUGUAAACAUUACAUUUUUAAGAGCUUUUGGAUUUUAAAUGGAAAUUAUCUGAAGACGAUCACAAUUAAGCGCAAGUUAACUAUUAUAUUAGGGGCAUCUUCCGGACUGCUCAAAAGGUGUUGUUGAUAGUGGGACAUAUUUUUCCGAGACUGUACUACUUGUGUGAUAUGGAGAAAUAAAUUAUUCUGGAUCUUGA